UACGGGGGGGGGCAAGCGUUGUUCGGAAUUACUGGGCGUAAAGGGCUCGUAGGCGGCCAACUAAGUCAGACGUGAAAUCCCUCGGCUUAACCGGGGAACUGCGUCUGAUACUGGAUGGCUAGAGGUUGGGAGAGGGAUGCGGAAUUCCAGGUGUAGCGGUGAAAUGCGUAGAUAUCUGGAGGAACACCGGUGGCGAAGGCGGCAUCCUGGGCCGGUAUUGACGCUGAGGAGCGAAAGCCAGGGGAGCAAACGGG
rnacentral:rRNA from 1 species